rnacentral:snRNA from 1 species
AUCGCUUCUUGGCCUUUUGGCUAAGAUCAAGUGUGGUAUCUGUUCUUAUCAGUUUACUAUCUGAUAAACUCUGGGAGUUGGUGAUGGACAGGGAGGACUGGUGUGUUGCAGUCCAUGGAUUCACGAAGAGUCGGUCAUGACUGAGUGAAUGAACUGAACUGAGCCGAACUGAAUGUCCUCUAUCUGAGAACAACAUAUUAAACAGAUUUUUGGAGCAGGAGGUUGGAAUAGAGGCUUGCUCAGACAAAUAGUUUACUGUGUAGACUCUUCUUGGUCCACUGGAGAAUUC